UGCCUAACACAUGCAAGUCGAACGAAGCCUUUGGGCUUAGUGUCGCACGGGUGCGUAACGCGUGGGAAUCUGCCCUUGGGUACGGAACAACAGUUAGAAAUGACUGCUAAUACCGUAUGAUGUCUUCGGACCAAAGAUUUAUCGCCCAGGGAUGAGCCCGCGUAGGAUUAGGUAGUUGGUGGGGUAAAGGCCCACCAAGCCGACGAUCCUUAGCUGGUCUGAGAGGAUGAUCAGCCACACUGGGACUGAGACACGGCCCAGACUCCUACGGGAGGCAGCAGUGGGGAAUAUUGGACAAUGGGCGCAAGCCUGAUCCAGCAAUGCCGCGUGAGUGAUGAAGGCCCUAGGGUUGUAAAGCUCUUUUACCCGGGAAGAUAAUGACUGUACCGGGAGAAUAAGCCCCGGCUAGCUCCGUGCCAGCAGCCGCGGUAAUACGAAGGGGGCGAGCGUUGCUCGGAAUAACUGGGCGUAAAGGGCGCGUAGGCGGCCGAUAGCUGUCAGAUGUGAAAUUUUUGGGCUCAACCCNAAAACUGCAUUUGAUACNUAUUGNCUAGAGUGCGAGAGAGGAUUGCGGAAUUCCCAGUGUA
rnacentral:rRNA from 1 species